rnacentral:rRNA from 1 species
AUUGAACGCUGGCGGCAUGCUUUACACAUGCAAGUCGAACGGUAACAGGUCUUCGGAUGCUGACGAGUGGCGAACGGGUGAGUAAUACAUCGGAACGUGCCUAGUAGUGGGGGAUAACUACUCGAAAGAGUAGCUAAUACCGCAUGAGAUCUACGGAUGAAAGCAGGGGACCUUCGGGCCUUGUGCUACUAGAGCGGCUGAUGGCAGAUUAGGUAGUUGGUGGGGUAAAGGCUUACCAAGCCUGCGAUCUGUAGCUGGUCUGAGAGGACGACCGGCCACACUGGGACUGAGACACGGCCCAGACUCCUACGGGAGGCAGCAGUGGGGAAUUUUGGACAAUGGGCGAAAGCCUGAUCCAGCAAUGCCGCGUGCAGGAUGAAGGCCCUCGGGUUGUAAACUGCUUUUGUACGGAACGAAAAGCCUGGGGCUAAUAUCCCCGGGUCAUGACGGUACCGUAAGAAUAAGCACCGGCUAACUACGUGCCAGCAGCCGCGGUAAUACGUAGGGUGCAAGCGUUAAUCGGAAUUACUGGGCGUAAAGCGUGCGCAGGCGGUUUUGUAAGACAGUGGUGAAAUCCCCGGGCUCAACCUGGGAACUGCCAUUGUGACUGCAAGGCUAGAGUGCGGCAGAGGGGGAUGGAAUUCCGCGUGUAGCAGUGAAAUGCGUAGAUAUGCGGAGGAACACCGAUGGCGAAGGCAAUCCCCUGGGCCUGCACUGACGCUCAUGCACGAAAGCGUGGGGAGCAAACAGGAUCAGAUACCCUGGUAGUCCACGCCCUAAACGAUGUCAACUGGUUGUUGGGUCUUAACUGACUCAGUAACGAAGCUAACGCGUGAAGUUGACCGCCUGGGGAGUACGGCCGCAAGGUUGAAACUCAAAGGAAUUGACAGGGACCCGCACAAGCGGUGGAUGAUGUGGUUUAAUUCGAUGCAACGCGAAAAACCUUACCCACCUUUGACAUGGCAGGAACUUACCAGAGAUGGUUUGGUGCUCGAAAGAGAACCUGCACACAGGUGCUGCAUGGCUGUCGUCAGCUCGUGUCGUGAGAUGUUGGGUUAAGUCCCGCAACGAGCGCAACCCUUGCCAUUAGUUGCUACAUUCAGUUGAGCACUCUAAUGGGACUGCCGGUGACAAACCGGAGGAAGGUGGGGAUGACGUCAAGUCCUCAUGGCCCUUAUAGGUGGGGCUACACACGUCAUACAAUGGCUGGUACAAAGGGUUGCCAACCCGCGAGGGGGAGCUAAUCCCAUAAAGCCAGUCGUAGUCCGGAUCGCAGUCUGCAACUCGACUGCGUGAAGUCGGAAUCGCUAGUAAUCGUGGAUCAGAAUGUCACGGUGAAUACGUUCCCGGGUCU